UACGUAGGGGGCAAGCGUUGUCCGGAAUCAUUGGGCGUAAAGAGCGUGUAGGCGGCCCGAUAAGUCCGCUGUGAAAGUCCAGGGCUCAACCCUGGGAUGCCGGUGGAUACUGUCGGGCUCGAGUCCGGAAGAGGAGUGUGGAAUUCCUGGUGUAGCGGUGAAAUGCGCAGAUAUCAGGAGGAACACCGAUGGCGAAGGCAGGUCUCUGGGCCACUACUGACGCUGAGAAGCGAAAGCGUGGGGAGCAAACAGG
rnacentral:rRNA from 1 species